GAUGAACGCUAGCGGCAGGCUUAAUACAUGCAAGUCGAGGGGCAGCAGGACUGUAGCAAUACAGUUGCUGGCGACCGGCAAACGGGUGCGGAACACGUACGCAAUCUACCCGAAACUGGGGCAUAGCCCGGGGAAACCCGGAUUAAUACCCCGUAACACUUUGAAGUGGCAUCACUUUAUAGUUAUAGCUCCGGCGGUUUUGGAUGAGCGUGCGGCUGAUUAGGUAGUUGGCGGGGUAACGGCCCACCAAGCCUACGAUCAGUAACUGGUGUGAGAGCACGACAAGUCAAACGGGCACUGAGACACGGGCCCGACUCCUACGGGAGGCAGCAGUAAGGAAUAUUGGUCAAUGGACGCAGGUCUGAACCAGCCAUGCCGCGUGGGGGAUGAAGGCCCUCUGGGUUGUAAACUUCUUUUAUAGGGGACGAAACCUCUUUUUCUUGAGAGACUGACGGUACCCUAGGAAUAAGCACCGGCUAACUCCGUGCCAGCAGCCGCCGUAACAC
rnacentral:rRNA from 1 species